rnacentral:rRNA from 2 species
UCCGGUGGUUCUGAAUGGAAGGGCCAUCGCUCAACGGAUAAAAGGUACUCCGGGGAUAACAGGCUGAUACCGCCCAAGAGUUCAUAUCGACGGCGGUGUUUGGCACCUCGAUGUCGGCUCAUCACAUCCUGGGGCUGAAGUAGGUCCCAAGGGUAUGGCUGUUCGCCAUUUAAAGUGGUACGCGAGCUGGGUUUAGAACGUCGUGAGACAGUUCGGUCCCUAUCUGCCGUGGGCGCUGGAGAACUGAGGGGGGCUGCUCCUAGUACGAGAGGACCGGAGUGGACGCAUCACUGGUGUUCGGGUUGUCAUGCCAAUGGCACUGCCCGGUAGCUAAAUGCGGAAGAGAUAAGUGCUGAAAGCAUCUAAGCACGAAACUUGCCCCGAGAUGAGUUCUCCCUGACCCUUUAAGGGUCCUGAAGGAACGUUGAAGACGACGACGUUGAUAGGCCGGGUGUGUAAGCGCAGCGAUGCGUUGAGCUAACCGGUACUAAUGAACCGUGAGGCUUAACCUU